rnacentral:rRNA from 1 species
UACGGAGGGGGCUAGCGUUGUUCGGAAUUACUGGGCGUAAAGCGAACGUAGGCGGUGUUCCAUGUCAGAGGUGAAAGCCUGGGGCUCAACUCCAGAAUUGCCUUUGAAACGGGGACGCUUGAGUCCGAGAGAGGGUGGCGGAAUUCCUAGUGUAGAGGUGAAAUUCGUAGAUAUUAGGAAGAACACCAGUGGCGAAGGCGGCCACCUGGCUCGGUACUGACGCUCAGGUUCGAAAGCGUGGGGAGCAAACAGG